GUUCUCACUGCAGCAGCACACACUAAAACUGGAACCGUACAAAGAUUAGAAUGGCCUCUGCGCAAGGAUGACAUGCAUAUUUGUGAAGUGUUCCAUAUUUUU